UUGAGGAGAAGUUAGGAAGAGCACACGGUGGAUGCCUAGGCGCCAGGAGCCGAAGAAGGACGGGGCGAACACCGAUAUGCCCCGGGGAGCCGUAAGCAGGCAGUGAUCCGGGGAUUUCCGAAUGGGGCAACCCGCCAGCGCC
rnacentral:rRNA from 1 species